GGGCUGGAAUGUAACUCAGUGGUGGAGUGCUUGCCUAGUAUAUAUGAGGCCCUGAGUUCAGUCCAGCCCCACAAUAAAAAAGAUUUCUAAUAUA
ensembl:miRNA